rnacentral:rRNA from 1 species
UACGUAGGGUGCAAGCGUUGUCCGGAUUUAUUGGGCGUAAAGAGUUCGUAGGUGGUUUGUUAAGUCUGAUGUUAAAGACUGGGGCUCAACCUCGGAAAUGCAUUGGAUACUGGCAGACUUGAGUGCAGUAGAGGCAAGCGGAAUUCCAGGUGUAGCGGUGAAAUGCGUAGAUAUCUGGAAGAACACCGGUGGCGCAAGCGGCUUGCUGGGCUGUAACUGACACUGAGGAACGAAAGCUAGGGGAGCAAAUGGG